CGAAGGGUGCAAGCGUUACUCGGAAUUACUGGGCGUAAAGUGUGCGCAGGCGGCCGAGCAAGUCAGGUGUGAAAUCCCCGGGCUUAACCUGGGAAUUGCGCUUGAAACUAGCGGGCUUGAGUGUGGCAGAGGGGGGUGGAAUUCCACGUGUAGCAGUGAAAUGCGUAGAGAUGUGGAGGAACACCGAUGGCGAAGGCAGCCCCCUGGGUCAACACUGACGCUCAUGCAUGAAAGCGUGGGGAGCAAACAGGA
rnacentral:rRNA from 1 species